rnacentral:rRNA from 1 species
ACGAACGCUGGCGGCGUGCCUAAUACAUGCAAGUCGAGCGGAAUGAUGAAGAAGCUUGCUUCUUCUGAUUUUAGCGGCGGACGGGUGAGUAACACGUGGGCAACCUACCUUGUAGAUUGGGAUAACUCCGGGAAACCGGGGGCUAAUACCGAAUAAUCCAUUUUGCUUCAUGGCGAGAUGUUAAAAGGCGGCUUCGGCUGUCACUACGAGAUGGGCCCGCGGCGCAUUAGCUAGUUGGUAGGGUAAUGGCCUACCAAGGCGACGAUGCGUAGCCGACCUGAGAGGGUGAUCGGCCACACUGGGACUGAGACUCGGCCCAGACUCCUACGGGAGGCAGCAGUAGGGAAUCUUCCACAAUGGACGAAAGUCUGAUGGAGCAACGCCGCGUGAGUGAAGAAGGUUUUCGGAUCGUAAAACUCUGUUGUAAGGGAAGAACACGUACGAGAGUAACUGCUCGUACCUUGACGGUACCUUAUUAGAAAGCCACGGCUAACUACGUG